rnacentral:miRNA from 1 species
UAUGUAUAUCCAUAUCAGAGAGC